rnacentral:rRNA from 1 species
GACGAACGCUGGCGGCGUGCUUAACACAUGCAAGUCGAACGGAAAGGCCCUGCUUUUGUGGGGUGCUCGAGUGGCGAACGGGUGAGUAACACGUGAGUAACCUGCCCUUGACUUUGGGAUAACUUCAGGAAACUGGGGCUAAUACCGGAUAGGAGCUCCUGCUGCAUGGUGGGGGUUGGAAAGUUUCGGCGGUUGGGGAUGGACUCGCGGCUUAUCAGCUUGUUGGUGGGGUAGUGGCUUACCAAGGCUUUGACGGGUAGCCGGCCUGAGAGGGUGACCGGCCACAUUGGGACUGAGAUACGGCCCGGACGCGUACGGUAGGCAGUAGGGGGGAAUAUUGCACAAUGGGCGGAAGCCUGAUGCAGCAACGCCGCGUGCGGGAUGACGGCCUUCGGGGUGUAAACCGCUUUCGCCUGUGACGAAGCGUGAGUGACGGUAAUGGGUAAAGAAGCACCGGCUAACUACGUG